GCAUCCGUAGUUCAAUGGAUAGAGCAUCGGUCUUCGGAACCGAGUGUUGGGGGUUCGAGUCCCUUCGGAUGUG
rnacentral:tRNA from 1 species